CCUGGGACCAGGCAGCUUCAGGCUGGGGCCUCCCACCCUCUCACUUCAGGAUGAGGGGCCUCAGGAAUGGGGAGAGCUUUGCCUUCUUUCCCCCUAUAAUGAAUCCCCCUGGCUCUGCCCAUCCCCAAGGAAUGGAGACGCAGGCUGAGUAGAUCUGUCACCAGUUGGGUACCUGAGCUGGGCAUGAAAGAACAGUUGAGGCCCAAGUCAGAGGUGCGGAGGAAACAGAGUGGGUGGGAGCUGCUCAGAGAAGGAGGCCAGAAGGGGGGCCAGGCUAGCUAAAGAAUUAUAAACUGUGCAGAAGGAAGGGAGUCUCCUCUUACUUCCCACUAAGCAAUAAAUAAAGAAGCCAAAGAGGGUGGCAGAGCAGGGCCACAUGAACAGGAGAGGCGGCAGACAGGCAGAAUCUGAAAGCCUGGUCAAGAAAUGAGCCACAACCGUUGGGCAAGGAAAGCUUAGCCCUUGUGCCUCGUGUCUGCAUCUGUGAAAUGGGGAGAACCGCACCUGGCUUGUCUGCCUCACAGGUGGGUCUCUCAGUGAGUGACACAUGGAACACGGCAGACACAUGGGAGGGACUGGUGUCACUGCACACUCACUUUAGGGGGGAGAGAGGUUGGCCCCAGGGGAAGCACAUUGGCAAUAAUCCCAGAGGGGCGAGGUACAAGGCGGGAGGGGAAGGUACAAGGCGGGUACGCUGGCAUAAAGCAUCAGCACUGGAGGCUGGGAAUUUGAGAGUGAAAGGUGCUCUGGGCCAGUCUUCAAGAUGCAAGGGACUCCCUGAGGGAGAAGCUAUUUGGGAAACUUUAUGCCAAGCACAAAGGAAAUCUGCUGAAAUGAGGUGGGGAAGGAGGGGAGGGCUAUGGGAGAGAAAGAGCUGUAUAGGAAAAAUCUCUGUGCUCUGGCUCCUCUAUGAGGCUGUUCUGGCUGCCCCAAAACAGACAGUGGGCUUGGCAAAAACACACCUCAGACAGGAAGGGAGGCUGCAGAGAAGUUCAGCUGGCAGCUGGCCACUGUUCCAGCUCUUCCCGUUCAGGCCUCAGCCCACAGAGAAAGCCCCAGGCCAGGCCCAGGAAGACCUCGUGGCUGGGGGUUCUCAGUGUCUGGAGUGAGCUGUUUGGAUCUCUAAUUGAAAGCAAUAAAUGUCCCAGGGGCACACCCAGGCCACAGCAUCCCCUGCCCCUUCUUUCCAAGCUGAAGAAUCCAUAAAUUUGAUGAGAAAGCCAGCCUGCCUUGGCCCAGACGGGAGCUACACAGAUACCAGCCACCUACCCCUAUCCUGCCCCAUCCACUCGAAACCCGGGAUAAAUGCCUGGUCUUGGGGUAGGGUGCCCCCCCCUUCAAAUUCUGGAAAGUUUCCUGUAAAUUUGUUUUGCUCAAAAUAAAAAUACAGCC